GCAGCAGCAGCAGCAGGAAGAAGCAGCUGGUUCUCUUCUCAGCAACCUUACCCCCUUACCUCUCUUUGACCUCCUUUAAUCUCCUCCACAGCCUGGCCCUUGACUUCACAGAUUCCUCUUACCUUUCUUCACCUGAAAUGGCCUGCCCUUUACUGGGGUCUCCUUUACCCCUCCUCUCUGGUCCCAUCCCUUCUGCGGGCGAACCCCAGCAUUCCUCCACGGCUCGGCCUGGUCAGCUUGAACCACAUUUUGUCGGCUUGCCCUGGGCAAAGAGGGAGUUUAUGGUGGAAAGUGGGUCCAAGACUACCCCUGGGUUAGACCCCUGCCUUGCCCCAUCCGCUCCUCCCAAGCCCUGGUUGCGGCGCUUCCUGGGCGGAUGGUUUGGACUUGCUGCUGCAGCUGCGGUUCUGCUGUGUCAUGCAAGAAGGAGGCGGCGGCGGCGGCCGGAGCUGGAGGGGGAGGAGGGGAGGAACCUGAUCCUCGGUAGCGAAGGGCUGGAGGCAAACACCGAGCUCCCCCUGAGCCGCCUGGGAGCAGGGAGGGUUCUGCUACCCUGAGGGGCCCUCCCCGCGGGGCAGAGGGUGGGAGGAAGUCACAGCAUCUACUUCUGAAUCUGUGCUUGCCUUGAGGAAAAACGGCAUGGCACAGGAAUGUGGACGCUUUCAACCAGAGGAUUCUGUACGACGGUGUCGGCACACAAGGAGUGUUCCACUGACUGACCUCUUUUUGUUUUCAAAUGAAGAGGAGCCAAGAAUAGGACAGCUUGGGAAGGUGAGCUGCGUAUAGCUCGUCAGGCUGAGCUCAUCCUCGUCUACGGCCAAACGUUGGUUUCUCAUUUCUAGAAGAUGAAAGAUGUGAUGACUCAGGAAAAACUUGCUGCUCGAGAUGUGAGUCUUCAGAUGUUCCUGCCGCCAUAUCUGACAGCUGCUGCCAAGAUUCCCUGGUGGGAUGGACUCUUAUACCUCAACAACCAGAAGCCCAAGUAAACUCUUCUAUAAAUUGAAUGACUCAUGCUUAAAAAAAAAAACAAAAAACAAACUAUCUUUAUUUUGUGUGCAUUGGUGUUUUGCCUACAUAUAUGUCUGUGUGAGAGUGUCAGAUUCCUUGGAACUGUAGCUACAGAUAGUUGUGAGCCACCAUGUGGGUGCUGGGACUUGAACCCCAGUCCUCUAGAAGAGCAGCUGGUAGGUACUCUUAACCACUGGACCAUCCCUCUAGACCCUGAUCAUGGUGUUUUAACUACAGCAAAAGAAAAGUAAUUAGCACAAUCAGGUUAGCCAGAGGGCACACCUGUGACAGAUUUUUCCUAAGUGCAUUCAUCAGGGGGAGGCCCACCCUGGAUGGGGGCAGCACCCUUCCUUGGGUUUGGGUCUUAGAAAGAAUAAACACAGAGAGGGAGCUGAGCACAAGCCAGCAAGCACAAGCUAAGCAAGCACUGUCCAGUCUUCCUCUGCUUUGACUGAGGAUGUGACGUGUCUAGCUGCUUCAGGUUUCUGCCUCGAAUCCCCUGCAGUCAUAGACUAUAACCUGGAAUUGUGAGCCAAAAGAAAAACAAAAGAAAACAAAAUCCAUUUUCUCCCCAUAUGUUGCUUUUUGGUCAAAGCAUUUGAUCCCAGUAACAGAAAAGAAAUGAGGACAGGCAAGAAGAGGCCAUACCACAGAGCCAGGAGCAGGUUGUAGUGCCAAGUUGCAGAGGCCGGGGAGGAGCAUAGGUGCAGAGCAGCCGCUGUCAGAAUGUUCAGGGAAAAGGAGAAGAGAGGAUGUGUCAGGGAAGUGAGCUGGCUCAGUCCAUAACAGCAUGGUCUUGCUGUCUUUUACAGGGUCUGAAGUCUACCUUAGUGCAGUGGGAGCCACUAACUGUCCUAGUAUGAAGGAAGGAUAUUGAUGUUUUUUGGGCAUGUAAGUGUGUGUGUGUGUGUGUGUGUGUGUGUGUCCCCAUACUCUAGGGACUGAGCCUCCUCACCCAUGUACCACACAGCUUCAGUCCCAGUCCCAUAUUUUGUUUUCAAUCAAACUUUAUACAAAUGUUUCUCAAGAAAAUUAUAAGUUACUUCUUUUAUUUCUCAUUAAUAAUAUUUUGGGGUUUUUAUUUAAUAAAUUUUAAAGCAAGAUGAGCAUUUCAUAAAAGAAAUCAGCUUCAUCCUGACUCAGACUUUCCCACCAGACAUAACCAGAAUCCUAGAGGAAGUUACAAGUUAGUUAAAGUUAGGACUCUGUUCCUAGUCAAUUCCGUUUCUAGAACACCUAACACAUGGUGUCCAGCCCAAGUACAAAACAUCUCAGAGUUCUUGGAGUACUCAAGUUAUAUUCCUUCUGCAUUGCAUUAUAUGGGAAUUAAUACACACAAAAGAAAAAAAUCUGAUGAGUGUAUUCAAGUUUUGACAUUUGGGCUCUGAUAUCUUAUUUUUAACUUAUUUUAAUUGGCAUGUCAUAACUGUUUAUGUUUAUAGGGUAGAGUGUGAUGAUUCAGUCCAUACAUGCAAUGUGCACACAUCACAUGAUCCAUACAUGCAGUGUGCACACAUCAAGUCAGCAGGAUUGGCCUUUCCGUCUUCUUGGACAUCUGUCAUGUCUUUGUGUCUGGAGCCUGCAAAGGCCUCUCUUCUAGCUCUUUGUAAGUGUGGAGUAAGUUGUACAAACUGUAUUCACCCUGUUAUGUUAUCAUUGCUUUCUAGCCCGUAUCUGUUAUUCAGUCUCCCUCUGUCCUACAUCUCCUGACCUCCAAAGCCUCUUUUUAUGAUAUGCUAUUAUGAUAUGUUUCCAGAAAGUGACUGCACGAUGGAAAAUGGGUGCCCAGUAGUCCUAGGGCCAGUGUGGAGGAAUUACAGUACCUCGAAAAGGAAAUGAUAUGGGUCCAGGCUUGCCAGGGGCAGCAGGGAUGCAGAGAGGAGGGUCUGAGAAGCACUCCCGGGAAGGCCAGAGGCAUUCGGAUGACUCCAGGCUUUUGUGGGUGGAGGUGAGGGAUAAUGGCAAGGAAGGAAGACCUGUUGGGAGGAGCCUAGGGCAGAGACCCUUCCAUUCCCCCUGAGGACCACCUAUAUGUCACUGGAGCUGGGGACUUCGCCAUGCAAUGCAGAAAGGUUUCACGCUGAGGUCAGACCCUGGCAGCUAGAGAGGAUGGGGCUCUUAACACCUGCCAGAUUGUUAAGACCGAAUCUGUGUGGAACCCAGGCUGCAAAUGAGAGGUCUUCAGUACCUGCAGCCAAGCAGGGCCUGACAAGCUGUUUCCAUGGAGACACAGAGCUGUGUGCAGGCGUAGGCGUGUUGAUCCAUUCCAGAGCCUUGGGUCACAAGGCUGUAUCGAGCUAACAGGAAAAAGGUGUUAUCGAUCAGGAAAAGAUGCCCAAAGUAUUGGCAGCUAAUUGAGGUUUUGUUGUCAUAAUUCUGGAUUAAGUUUAACAAAUCAGGAUCCUGCUAGCUCCCACUUAGCAAGAGCACAAGGAAGCAGACACCAAUUCAGGCUAACUCUAAAUAUGCAGACACCCAGCCCAAGUAGUUCUGGAUCCUUGAGCUCUCAAGUAGCUCCGUAUCUCUUCCGACUGACAGAGACACAGACAGCAGCUGGGGGAGCUAAUCUCCUUUUCAUUUGUCAUAGGAAUGGCAAAAAUAUUCAGGAAACCUAAGCCUGGCUCUGGAAAAAAAUUCAGAUGCUGGCAGAGCCCCAAACUGGAUAUUGGGAAGCAUUUUGAAAAUUACUGUUCACAGAGAGCACAGAGGGAAGCUUCCAGAGCUUAGGAGAUGGGGGUCAGGUGGUGAGUGACUCAGAGCUUGCUGCAGCCACGUGACAUUCUAUCUCAAAGCAAACACUAGCAAAAAGGAAGCCAGCAGCAAUGACACUCACAUUUGUGGUGUGUGUGUGUGUUAAAAUAGACAUAGCAUGAAGUUUACCUUUGGAUAUUUUGGGGGGGGGGUUGUUUGUUUGUUUGUUUGUUUGUUUGUUUGUUUCCAGGCAGAGUUUCUCUGUGUAACAGCCCCCACCUGUCCAGCAACUCACUCUGUAGAUCAGGCUGGCCUCAAAAUAAGAGAUCUGCCUUCGUUUGCUUCCCCAGUAUAGGGAUUUAAGGUGUGUGUCAUCACUGGACAUUUUUAAAUAUACAAUUUAAUGGCAUAAAGAUCACACAUGAUCUUGGACUGGGGGUGUAGGCCAUUGGCACAGCAUGAGCUUGGAAUAUGUCAGCAGUGGGGUCCGAGUGGCACAGUUUUUAAAAAGUAUGCUUUCAAUUUUGUGCAUCCUUCAUUAUUAUUACUUCCAAAAUUUUAUUUUGGUUAAGUAACAACUCCCCAUUAGACUAUACAUCAGGUCAUUUUGUGUUACUAUAACAAAAUGCUGGAGGCAGGAUACUCUGUAUUAUUUAGCUCAGGAGUCUAGUCACUCAAGAGCAUGAUACUGGCAUGUGCUUGGUCUGUUGGACCUCAUUGUAGAUGGCUUCACAACGGUGGAUGUGCAUGUAGAGGAGGUCACAUGGCAAGGUGGGAUUCAGUAAAGCAGCAUCAAUCUGCUUACAUGGGAAAUGUCCCCAAGCUCUGAUUAUUUGUUGCUAGGCCCUACCACCUCAUUACCACCACACUGGGGACCAAGCCUCCUACAGGGGACAACAGAUUAUAUAGCAUGCCCUAAAGAUAUUGAACAGUAUGGUCUUCCUGCAGAGUUUUCUGCUGGCAGAAUGAUGGUUAGUGUGACUGUUAAUCUUAAUUGUCAGCUUGGUGGGAUUUAGAAUCAGCCUGGCUCUGUCAGUGAGAGGUUAUCUAGAUCAGCUUUACUGAGAGUGGAAGAUUCACCCUCAAGGCAGGUGAUACCACCCCAGGAGCUGGCAUCAUCUGAGACUAAACACAGUAUCCAUCUGUCUCUGCAUUCUGACUGUGGGUGCAGUGUGACCGCCCACCUCAAGCACCUGCUGCUGUGCCUUCCCAUCCUUGUGGACUGUGUCCUUUAGAACUGUAAGCCCUUCCUUCAUUAAGUUGCCUGUCAACGUUUUGUCACAGUAAUGAGAUAACUAAUACAGUUAGGUCACUGUUGGUGAGAAAACUGGGUUAAGCUUGUUUUGGUCAGUUGCUAUUAUUUCAGACAUGGGGCGACAGGUGUUCUCAUAAAGGGCGAACUUGAUAAACCUGAUCUCAGGAGGAGAUUGAUUUUAACUCUUAUGGAACCGACUCCUUUUGUCUGCAAGGUAUUUGAAGGGCUGUAAGCAAUGCUAAAAAGUCAGUAUAAAUUAUGUCAAGGCCAUGGGGUCUUUGCAGAGUCUUGUUAAAGGAAAACUAAGUUCCAAAAUUAGUAGGACAUAAUCGUGGGAGGAUCUAGAAACCAGCUUCAGUUUAAAUGAGAAAAUAAUGUUAGUGCUUGAGAGAGACGACACAUUUUUAUACUUUAAAUUUAUUCUUCAAGAAUUUCAUACAUGUAUACAAUGUUUUGAAUAUAUCCAUCCCAGUCCCUGCCCUCCAAAUCUCCUCAGGGCUCCCCAACAGUUCCUCCUGCUGACUAAACAUCUUCCUCUUGGUUUUUUAAUAACCCACGGAGUCGAGUUACUGUUGCUCUUAUGCAUCUAUAUAUGAAGACCAGAACACAGCAAAUUGUGUAUCUUAUCACCAUAGAAAAAUUGACAGUUGCAUUAAGUAAUUCAUGUUUACCAGUUCAAUUUGGCUGUUUUGUAAUGUGUAUAUAUUACAAAGAUUAUAUUCCACGUAAUAAAUAUUUGUAAUUAUUUGUUUGGUACUAAAUAUAUUUUAUGUUAAAUAUUUUG
rnacentral:lncRNA from 1 species